UACGUAGGAGGCAAGCGUUGUCCGGAAUCGCUGGGCGUAAAGGGCGCGUAGGUGGCGCGGGCAGUCAACGGUGAAAGUUCGGGGCUCAACCCUGAAUCGGCCGUCGAUACUCCCGGGCUUGAGCACUGUAGAGGCAGAUGGAAUUCCGGGUGUAGCGGUGAAAUACGUAGAGAUUGGGAAGAACACCAGUGGCGAAGGCGGCUAUCUGGACGGUUUCUGACGCUAAGACGCGAAAGCGUGGGGAGCAAACAGG
rnacentral:rRNA from 1 species